AAUCAACGCUGGCGGCGUGCCUCAGACAUGCAAGUCGAACGAUUAAAGCUCUCUUCGGAGAGUGCAUAGAGUGGCGCACGGGUGAGUAACACGUAAGUAAUCUACCCUCGAGUGGGGAAUAACGUCCGGAAACGGACGCUAAUACCGCAUAAUGCAGCGGCACCGCAAGGUGACAGUUGUUAAAGAUUUAUCGCUUGAGGAGGAGCUUGCGGCAGAUUAGCUAGUUGGUAAGGUAAUGGCUUACCAACGCUACGAUCUGUAACCGGUCUUAGAGGACGGUCGGUCACACUGACACUGAAUAACGGGUCAGACUCCUACGGGAGGCAGCAGUCGGGAAUUUUGGGCGAAUGGGCAAAGACCUGACCCAGCAACGCCGCGUGAAGGAUGAAGUAUUUCGGUAUGUAAACUUCGAAAGAAUAGGAAGAAUAAAUGACGGUACUAUUUAUAAGGUCC
rnacentral:rRNA from 1 species